rnacentral:rRNA from 1 species
GAUGAACGCUGGCGGUGUGCCUAACACAUGCGAGUCGAGCGACCGCAUAAUGAGCUUUCUCCUUUACGGUUGGCGAGUGACGGACGAGUUAGACGUGCAUCACCUUCUUCUUUUUCUUGGGUGAUUUCGUGAAGCCGGUUACACUAAUAGCUCAUACAUCCUACGGCUUAGAUCAAUGGAUCUUCGCGCCUUGCGCGAUUCAAUUAGCCGGAUCCGGGUCGGAUUAGCUAGUUGGUAAGGUAACGGCUUACCAAGGCGACGAUACGUAGCCGACCUGAGAGGAUGAUCAGCCACACUGGAACUGAGACACGGUCCAGACUCCUACGGGAGGCAGCAGUGGGGAAUAUUGGGCAAUGGGCGAAAGCCUGAUCGAGCAAUGCCGCGUGAGUGAAGAAGGUCUUCGGGUUGUAAAGCCCUUUUAUUAGGAAAGAAAAGAAGUAGAUGAAUACGUGGACGUUUUGACGGUACCUAAAGAGAAAGCAACGGCUAACUACGUG